GGACACCUGGGCACCCUCAGCAUGGCGCGGGACAAGCCCCUGACGCAGUAAGUGACACCUGGGGGACAUGGGGGGACAUGGGGGGACAUGGGGACACCUGGGGGGACACCUGGGCACCCUCAGCAUGGCACGGGACAAGCCCCUGACGCAGGCCCUGCUGCAUGUGGGCUUCGUGGCGCCCGUGCUGGUGGUGCUGCUGUGGGUGCGGCCGCUGUCCCGGGAUUUCCUGCGCCAGGCCCCGCUGGGCCGGCAGGCGGUGCCGAUCCUGUCGGACGCU
rnacentral:lncRNA from 1 species